UCCAAAUGGAGGCCAUUACAAAAAUAGCAAUAUAAGCUAUGACAAAAAAAUAUGUAUAAAGGUAUAUUUUAGUAAAAUUGGGGCAGCAUCCAGAUUAAUAUCAUAAAUAAUGAGCUAGCAAUAUUGAAAUAUAUUCUUGGCACAUGAUGUGUCAGACAAACUUUUGUGCUUAAAAAUCAACCUUGGUAGAGUGUAAUCCUUAAGUAGACAUAUCCAUUAAUUAGGAUCCUAAACUAGAAUCAGUAUUGUCCAGUCUCACCUUAUAAUUCUUCUGUUUUUACAUCAG
rnacentral:misc_RNA from 1 species